CGCCAAGGCACGAGAAACGCGCCAAGGCACUAGGAAUGGGCCAAGUCACUAGAAACGCGCCAAGGCACUGGAAAUGUGCCAAGGCACUGGAAAUGCGCCAAAUCACGAGAAACUCGCCAAUGCCUUAGAAAUGCGUCAAGUCACUA
ensembl:ncRNA B0454.22 ncRNA